GAUGAACGCUGGCAGCGUGCCUAAUACAUGCAAGUCGAGCGAACAGAUGAGGAGCUUGCUCCUCUGACGUUAGCGGCGGACGGGUGAGUAACACGUGGAUAACCUACCUAUAAGACUGGGAUAACUUCGGGAAACCGGAGCUAAUACCGGAUAAUAUAUUGAACCGCAUGGUUCAAUAGUGAAAGACGGUUUUGCUGUCACUUAUAGAUGGAUCCGCGCCGCAUUAGCUAGUUGGUAAGGUAACGGCUUACCAAGGCAACGAUGCGUAGCCGACCUGAGAGGGUGAUCGGCCACACUGGAACUGAGACACGGUCCAGACUCCUACGGGAGGCAGCAGUAGGGAAUCUUCCGCAAUGGGCGAAAGCCUGACGGAGCAACGCCGCGUGAGUGAUGAAGGUCUUCGGAUCGUAAAGCUCUGUUAUUAGGGAAGAACAAAUGUGUAAGUAACUAUGCACGUCUUGACGGUACCUAAUCAGAAAGCCACGGCUAACUACGUG
rnacentral:rRNA from 1 species